rnacentral:rRNA from 2 species
UAGUGAGUUUGAUCCUGGCUCAGAGCGAACGCUGGCGGCAGGCUUAACACAUGCAAGUCGAACGCUCGCAGCAAUGCGGGAGUGGCAGACGGGUGAGUAACGCGUGGGAACGUGCCCUUUGGUUCGGAAUAACUCAGGGAAACUUGAGCUAAUACCGGAUAAGCCCCUUACGGGGGAAAGAUUUAUCGCCGAAGGAUCGGCCCGCGUCCGAUUAGCUAGUUGGUGAGGUAAUGGCUCACCAAGGCGACGAUCGGUAGCUGGUCUGAGAGGAUGAUCAGCCACACUGGGACUGAGACACGGCCCAGACUCCGUACGGGGAGGCAGCAGUGGGGAAUAUUGGACAAGUGGGGGAAACCCUGAUCUAGCCAUGCCGCGU